CAUUAUUGUGACAUGCAAACCCAUGGUGAAUGUGUUGUUAUUACCUUGGUAACUUGGAGUAUUGUUCUACCGGCGAGAUUCGUAACUAAGGGUACGGUUAGGAUCGGAGAAAAUACUGAAAUCUCCCGGCUAGGAUCGUAACUUGGAGGGUGCGACCCUGGGAUAUAGGGUAUAAUUGAAAUAGCAAUUGCUGCCAGCUAGGUUCGUGACUACGAGGGUACGACUAGGAUCGGAAAAUUUUAGAUAAGAAUACUGGGUGACCGGCGAGGUUCGUGACUACGAGGGUACGACUUGGAUCGGCGGAGUAAUUCUUAGGAAAGGAGUCUGAGAAGGAGAAAAAGAAAGACAGAGAUAACGAGGAAGGAGCCGAGGGUGGAACGAAAAAGGAAGUUACUAAGAAAGUUGAAAAGUGAAUUACAGGAGAAGGUGAUUCACUCAAUCCAACCAGGAGACUGGGUGUGGAUCCAGUCCCUGAGGAGAAAAGAACUGGAAGCAGCCACAGUGGGAGGGGCCAUACCAAGUGCUCCUGGUAACAGCCUUUGCGGUGAGAAUAGCUGAAAGAGCUACCUGGGUUCAUAUCACACAUUGCGGGAGGGUAAGACACACUGACACUGUCGAACAAUCACAGAGUUGGAGAAGAACCGAAUACCAAUAAGGUUCGGGGGUUACCUCUCUAACGAAGAUUCCCUAACCCGCCCGAUCCUCACUGUGUGCGUUCAUAGAAGUGAAAGUGUGGGUUGGCCUCUAGCCAGUGAUAUGUUCUCCGGGAGGGGGUGCGGCUUUACAGAGGUACUGGUCGGUCUGAGCUGUCUGAUUGUGGGAGCCAUAUUCCUAAUACACCAUGAACCACUCGAGAAGUCAGAAAGUGGUAACUUGACCCAUAGUGUAGAAGAUGAGGAGUUUUUAUGCCCUAGGUACAAAAGGUCAUUCGAGCUGGAUAAAAAGGAAGUGAGAGUAGAGUUAGGGAAGGAUGUCUCAAUAGAGUUCUAUGCAGACCAAAUGGGGUCCCUAACCUCCUGGCAGUCUAGGACUCUGACUUCAUGGGGAAGAUAUCUGUGUAGAUCCCUGUGUAACUCAUGGAAUCAGGUCAUAGCUCACACAGGGAGAGAAGGCUAUGUCAAUCCACACACCCAAUAUAGAAACAGAUGGAGUAUAGUGAAAGCCAGGGUUUUUGACUGCAAUCCAGAGCAAGGGAAGUAUUGCUUAAAGGUAUGAAUUACCAUUAAAAGCGUUAAAAAAGGAGGAUUUAGGGUUAUGGUAUGUUGACCUUGACCAGACCAGUGUCGACACUACGGUACCAUUCCGAGUAGUAGAGGUUAGGACAGGAUACCAGUUGUACCCCUGAUAAAACGGACAUUACUCGUGUAGUCAUCCAGAGCCAAGGACUGGUGAGGAUAGUUCAGACGAAAGAUCUUAAGGAAGUGAUUGAGGUGGAGACUUGGUUUGGGGAUUCCAACCUAUGGCUGGAAUGGAUUCAGUAUACAGCUAGAUCAGUAGCUAAAGACAGUUACACUGAUCUGCAUUAUCUGUAUCCUAUGUGCCCAUUAGAUCCAGACUUCCCCAUUUCACAGUCGCAGGAGGAGACUAUUAUUGUAUGGCUUGACACAAUAUACACGGACGGGAUGUAGGGGAAGUGAGAACACGCAAUAGAACAGAGAGAGAAGGAGUGUUCCGUCUGGGUCCUUAGACGAUAGAGCUUACAUUGAUAGCAUUGGGGUUCCAAGGGGGUUGUCUAAUGAGUUUAAAACUAGGAAUUAGAUAUUGGCUGGAUUGGAAUCAGCAUCUUCUGGUGGUCAACCCUCAAUAAAAAUGUAGAUUGGAUAAAUUAUAUUUAUUAUAACCAACAGCAGAUCAUCAACUAUACUAGAGAUGUGAUAAAAGGAUUAGCAGAACAGACAGAGGCAACUAGUUUGAUGGCUUGGCAGAAUAGAAUUGCAUUGGAUGUGUUACUGGUGGAGAAGGGUGGUGUGUGUGUGAUAUUCGGAUCAAUGUGCUGUACUUUCAUCCCAAAUAACACAGCUACAGAUGGAUCAGUGGCCAAGGCCCUGGCAGGUUUAACCACAUUGGCUAACGAGUUAGUAGAGAACUCUGGGGUGGAUACCUCACUGACUGGGUGAUGCGAUAGUAUGUUUGGAAAAAUGGAAAAAUGUUAUAAUCACUGUGUUAUGGGCUGCUUUCACCGGUAUGAGUGUGUUUGUGUUGUGUGGUUGUUGUCUGGUCCCGUGUGCGAGAGGUCUCAUUUCCAGGGUUCUGGAGAGAUUGAUAACGGAGCAGAUGGGCAACCGGAAUGAUGCCCUUGAUGGAAGUGACCCCAGUGGAUACUGAAUCAACCUCUGGGCAAAGGAGGGGUCUGUCUGAGGACGAUCCUUGGUUUGCUGUUGAGGAAGUGGUAGAAUAAAGCUUAUCCAAAAUGUUCUUAUAUGUGUUGAAUGUAGUGACAGGUGGAUGUGAAGGUUUUAAGUUCUGGGACAAAGAGUCUGUCCCACACAUGUUAGGUGUAGCCCCU
rnacentral:lncRNA from 1 species